rnacentral:rRNA from 1 species
UACAGAGGGUGCGAGCGUUGUCCGGAAUCACUGGGCGUAAAGGGCUCGUAGGCGGUCUGUUGCGUCGGGAGUGAAAACUUACAGCUUAACUGUGAGCGUGCUUUCGAUACGGGCAGACUUGAGGCAUUCAGGGGAGAACGGAAUUCCUGGUGUAGCGGUGAAAUGCGCAGAUAUCAGGAGGAACACCGGUGGCGAAGGCGGUUCUCUGGGAAUGUCCUGACGCUGAGGAGCGAAAGUGUGGGGAGCGAACAGG